AUCAACAAUACCAUUAUCCUCACGAUCAGGAAUUGCCUCAGGAAGGCGAGUUUUUGACCCCUGGUGCUCGUUCAUCUCUGAAGAUCUCCCUUUGCUUCCUAUAAUCUUCUGCCCACCUUUUUCUCCCCCAGUCAUGGGUGAACGAUUAAAGCCAUCAACCUGUAGUUGCAAUCACGAGUCGAGACUUUUGUUUCAGAUGUUUCCUUUCAGUCAAAACUAUAAUCUCAUGUAUCGAAGAACAAUCCGAGAAGGGUGCUUUGAGAACAAGUAUUCACGCGUCUGCACUGCCAUCCAUCAUUUGGAUGAUAUUUGAAGUGGUUGAAUGAUAUGUAAAGUAUGGCUCACUUCAGCGCCGCGGGCAUCAUUCUCCACAGAGAGGUAUUUGUUAAGGGGUGAAUAUACGUGAUCCACACAUGUUUGAAGACAGAAUAUCCAAGUUAGAUUCCGCAUCAGUCCCGAUCUAUUAUCUAACGAACUAUAUAAGUUUCACUUACAGUUUGUCAAAGUUGAGUUUCUUUGUCUUGCCUUUGCCAACCGUAUCAAAGCUAAAACCCAUUGUGUCAUCUUCCGCCACAGACAACGGUUUCCUGGAGAAGAGGAGUUGAGAGCGCAGCUCUUCGAUCGGUUUGGUAUGCAUGCACAUGAGGGACAGUGAGGGAUGGGGAGGCGAGGGCGAAGAUCGUGGAGGUGAAAGCGAGAUUUUCAAAAAGAACACUAAGGAGUUCCGAGAUUCUUACAAAGCAGAGCAAGAGAAGUUGCAGCAGCUAAUCGUCUCAGCUAGGAGUAAUCUCUCUUCUGUCCAGACUGACCAAGAUCUCAAGGUGAAAAUCUGCAGGGUUAGUGCUGAGCUGUGUCUAUGGAAUAAGAGGAGAUACCGAGACUAACUGAGUCGCUGAGGCCUUGGCAGCUCUGAAGUGAAGAGACAAUGUAACUGCGGAAACUGCUUGAGGCAUCGGCUUUGCGAAGUUCCCUUGGAAUCAAGUGACUCGGUACUACUGGUAAUCAAGUUCAGCCGAGAGAAGUACGGAAAUGUGGGCUUUUUGGUUUUUUUGUUACUAUCGCUCCAAAAACUUGUUUAUGCAUUUGGAACAUCCAUGCUAGUGAAGUAGGUCUUGUUGUUGAUCACGAUAUUGAGGGAAUUGAAUGGAAGAAGGAAAGAUUGGUUAUGG